GACGGAGAGAGUAAAUGUUAUAACUAGGUCCCAUUUGGAUGUCAUAGGAUUAUAAGAAUCUAGAUAGUGGCUAUAGAUAAAAAAUCUAUAUUAUAGAUUAUAAAUAGUUGGGCUCCUAGAUUAUAAGGUGUCUGAUGGUUGGUUAUGUCUAUAAUUUCAAAAUUGUAUAGUUUAGGGAGAUAGUAGGAUUAUAAGUUAUUUUAAGAUUUGGAUGGUUAGAUACUAUAGUCUACACAAGAAUUUGGGUUGUUUGGAUCUCAUAUUGAUUUUUAUAUGGUUCCUAAUUUGUAUGAGAUCCAAACAAGACUUUAUAAUAACUAAUAAAGUAUUAAAUGAUGUUAUAUUAGCAUAUUUAAUGUAAAUUAAUGCUGAGUAUGAUAAAGUUAAUAUAGUUCAUUUAUGUAGAAUGAGUAAUAUUAAUUUUAGCACCAAAUACAGUAAUGGUACUUUUCAUUGAAAGCUUUGCUAGUAGGGGUAAUAUAAUUGGCACCGCACUUGAAGCUAGCGAUGGAAGGUGUAGGAGGGAGGGAACGAACACCGACGAGAAAAGAAAUUGCAAUUCAUAUGCCAUAAAAAAGAGUGGCAUGUGAUGGGAAGAAGCAUACACCCAACUAUGUCCGGUGCAGAUUGGGCAAGUAAUAUGAGACAUCAGCGAAGGAAGAUUAUAUUAUAGGUAUCUUACAAUUGUUGGAGGUCAGCUAUUGACUAUAGAUGGUGUUAGGGAGAAUUCAGAAUUAGGUGAUAAAGGAAAUAGAUGAACGUCCUUGUCCUUAAUUAAAUGGCAUUUAGGAGACAAUCUAAUUAGUUUAAAUAAAUAUCCUAUAUUUUUAAAUAAAUAACAUUUAAUACAAGCCAAUUAAUUUAUUUAAAAUUAUUUACUAGUAUUUAGCUUGCUGUCAAGUCUCAACGUUAUUUGCUUGAGAAAGGAGGAAAU
rnacentral:lncRNA from 1 species